rnacentral:rRNA from 1 species
AUUGAACGCUGGCGGCAGGCCUAACACAUGCAAGUCGAGCGAGCGGCGGACGGGUGAGUAAUGUAUGGGGACUGCCCGAUAAAGGGGGAUAACUACUGGAAACGGUGGCUAAUACCGCAUACUAUCGGAUAACCCAUAUGGGAUUAGCUAGUAGGGGGGGUAAAGGCUCACCUAGGCGGCGAUCUCUAGCUGGUCUGAGAGGAGGAUUGGCCACACGGGGCCUGAGACACGCCCCGGACUCCUACGGAGGAGGAAGUGGGGAAUAUUGCACAAUGGGCGCAGGCCGGAUGCAGACAUGCCGCGUGUAUGAGGAAGGCCUUAGGGUUGAAAGGUACUUUCAGCGGGGAGGCGUUACCCGAAGAAAAAGCACCGGCUAACUCCGUGCCAGCAGCCGCGGUAAUAC